rnacentral:rRNA from 1 species
UACGUAGGGGGCAAGCGUUGUCCGGAUUUAUUGGGCGUAAAGAGCGUGUAGGCGGCCAGACAGGUCAGCUGUGAAAACUCGAGGCUCAACCUCGAGACGUCGGUUGAAACCGUCUGGCUAGAGUCCGGAAGAGGAGAGUGGAAUUCCCGGUGUAGCGGUGGAAUGCGCAGAUAUCAGGAGGAACACCAAUAGCGAAGGCAGCUCGCUGGGACGGUACUGACGCUAAGGCGCGAAAGCGUGGGGAGCGAACAGG